AUGGAGGUGUCUUUCUCUAGGGUGCUUACACCCAAGGACUGCGGAGAUCAUAUGGAACAUCGCACACCUUUGGCACCACCUCUUCCAGGAAGCCCUCCAGGCUUCUUCUGGGCUCUCCAGGCUCACCCCCCUCCCCCCGUCACAGAAGACAGGGUAUUUGUGUCCCUCAUUGGUGCACGUGUGUGUGGGGGGGGGGGGGGGGGGGGGGGGGGGGGGGGGGGGGGGGGGGGGGGGGGGGGGGGGGGGGGGGGGGGGGGGGGGGGGGGGGGGGGGGGGGGGGGGGGGGGGGGGGGGGGGGGGGGGGGGGGGGGGGGGGGGGGGGGGGGGGGGGGGGGGGGGGGGGGGGGGGGGGGGGGGGGGGGGGGGGGGGGGGGGGGGGGGGGGGGGGGGGGGGGGGGGGGGGGGGGGGGGGGGGGGGGGGGGGGGGGGGGGGGGGGGGGGGGGGGGGGGGGGGGGGGGGGGGGGGGGGGGGGGGGGGGGGGGGGGGGGGGGGGGGGGGGGGGGGGGGGGGGGGGGGGGGGGGGGGGGGGGGGGGGGGGGGGGGGGGGGGGGGGGGGGGGGGGGGGGGGGGGGGGGGGGGGGGGGGGGGGGGGGGGGGGGGGGGGGGGGGGGGGGGGGGGGGGGGGGGGGGGGGGGGGGGGGGGGGGGGGGGGGGGGGGGGGGGGGGGGGGGGGGGGGGGGGGGGGGGGGGGGGGGGGGGGGGGGGGGGGGGGGGGGGGGGGGGGGGGGGGGGGGGGGGGGGGGGGGGGGGGGGGGGGGGGGGGGGGGGGGGGGGGGGGGGGGGGGGGGGGGGGGGGGGGGGGGGGGGGGGGGGGGGGGGGGGGGGGGGGGGGGGGGGGGGGGGGGGGGGGGGGGGGGGGGGGGGGGGGGGGGGGGGGGGGGGGGGGGGGGGGGGGGGGGGGGGGGGGGGGGGGGGGGGGGGGGGGGGGGGGGGGGGGGGGGGGGGGGGGGGGGGGGGGGGGGGGGGGGGGGGGGGGGGGGGGGGGGGGGGGGGGGGGGGGGGGGGGGGGGGGGGGGGGGGGGGGGGGGGGGGGGGGGGGGGGGGGGGGGGGGGGGGGGGGGGGGGGGGGGGGGGGGGGGGGGGGGGGGGGGGGGGGGGGGGGGGGGGGGGGGGGGGGGGGGGGGGGGGGGGGGGGGGGGGGGGGGGGGGGGGGGGGGGGGGGGGGGGGGGGGGGGGGGGGGGGGGGGGGGGGGGGGGGGGGGGGGGGGGGGGGGGGGGGGGGGGGGGGGGGGGGGGGGGGGGGGGGGGGGGGGGGGGGGGGGGGGGGGGGGGGGGGGGGGGGGGGGGGGGGGGGGGGGGGGGGGGGGGGGGGGGGGGGGGGGGGGGGGGGGGGGGGGGGGGGGGGGGGGGGGGGGGGGGGGGGGGGGGGGGGGGGGGGGGGGGGGGGGGGGGGGGGGGGGGGGGGGGGGGGGGGGGGGGGGGGGGGGGGGGGGGGGGGGGGGGGGGGGGGGGGGGGGGGGGGGGGGGGGGGGGGGGGGGGGGGGGGGGGGGGGGGGGGGGGGGGGGGGGGGGGGGGGGGGGGGGGGGGGGGGGGGGGGGGGGGGGGGGGGGGGGGGGGGGGGGGGGGGGGGGGGGGGGGGGGGGGGGGGGGGGGGGGGGGGGGGGGGGGGGGGGGGGGGGGGGGGGGGGGGGGGGGGGGGGGGGGGGGGGGGGGGGGGGGGGGGGGGGGGGGGGGGGGGGGGGGGGGGGGGGGGGGGGGGGGGGGGGGGGGGGGGGGGGGGGGGGGGGGGGGGGGGGGGGGGGGGGGGGGGGGGGGGGGGGGGGGGGGGGGGGGGGGGGGGGGGGGGGGGGGGGGGGGGGGGGGGGGGGGGGGGGGGGGGGGGGGGGGGGGGGGGGGGGGGGGGGGGGGGGGGGGGGGGGGGUGCUGUCUUCACGAGGCCUCCAGGAGUGCCUCCCUGGGGCUCAUAGUGAGUUAA
ensembl:lncRNA